rnacentral:rRNA from 1 species
GUGACAAUUUAAACGGCCGCGGUAUUUUGACCGUGCGAAGGUAGCGCAAUCACUUGUCUCUUAAAUAAAGACCUGUAUGAAUGGUAGAACGAGGGCUUAACUGUCUCCCUUUUUAAGUCAAUGAAAUUGAUCUGCCCGUGCAGAAGCGAGCAUAAUAAUACAAGACGAGAAGACCCUUUGGAGCUUAAGGCCCCAGAUCAACUAUGUCAAGAACUUUAACCAAGUUAAACCAAAUAGCACCUGAUCUUAGCCUUCAGUUGGGGCGACCGUGGGAGAAAACAAAGCUCCCAUGAGGACUGGACCCACCUCCAGAACCAAGAAAAACAUUUCUAAGUCACAGAACCUCUGACCAUAAUGAUCCGGCCACCAGCCGAUCAACGAACCUAGUUACCCUAGGGAUAACAGCGCAAUCCCCUUUCAGAGUCCAUAUCGACAAGGGGGUUUACGACCUCGAUGUUGGAUCAGGACAUCCUAAUGGUGCAGCCGCUAUUAAGGGUUCGUUUGUUCAACGAUUAAAGUCCUACGUG